UGCCAUUUAACUUUGCCGCUUGUCUCAGAACUGCCCCAGAGGACUUGCCUCAGCUCUGCUUUUUUUUCUGUUAGGUUGUGUUUAGGUGUUGUGGUGUUCAUUAUGUAUGUUAGGCUAUGCUAGUUGAUCCUGCUGGUCUUAUAGCUGAUGCCCAGCCCUGCUAGGGAAUCAGACACAAGCUCUGUCUAUGGGAACUGGUGCUUUCUCUGUCUAUGGGAGCUGGAGCCAGGCCUCAAAUAUGGGCGAGGAAGUCCAAUGCAGGCUCUGCUGACUGGUGCUAGGGUGUAGUUUGUUUUAGAAUCUGUCUGUAUUUGUCUUGGCAUGCCUUUUCUACCAGCAACACCCGAAAGGGACGCCUUUCUGGCCAUGCUGUACUGUGUCCUAAGCAGUACCGUGCACAGGCCUUUUGAGAGGCAUUUUCUGAAACUGAAGAAAAUGCUCACAAGGACAGACGAUGUGUCGGAGUUGGGUGCCGGCCCGGGAUCUGGACCCUUCGCUGGCCAUCGACUUCCACCGCUGUUGUCCCUACUGGCCUGCUUUGCUUCUGCUUUCUCGUGGACGGCCCCGAGGCUGGCAUCUUCGGUUUGUCAGUCUAUAUGUGUUGUAAAGCCCAGUGUUUAUAGAGUUGAAUGAUGCACUGGGCCGAUCGCAUUGAGAAGGAUCUGGAGAGGACUCUGCAACUCAUCACUGGAACCCAGCAGAUGAGAGGGAUCUACAAUGAGAAGAAGAGCCAGUUUGACAUCAAGCGGAACAACCCAAAGGACCUGGUGGAGAGAGUGGCACGGGACAUCGCCAAGCUGCUCACCGGCAAGAAGAAAGCCCUAGAGAGGCUGGCCAGGGAAGCGGAACAGUUGCAGACAGAACAUGUUUGGAAGGACGGUAUCAAGGACGGGGACGGGGAGGAGAACCUGAUGGAGAAUCCCUACUCCAUGAAGCUGGAGUUUGUGGACGAUCCAAACUUCCCGAAUAAAAAGGUCAAUUACUCCUACAGCGCCGUCCAAAUCCCUACGGACAUCUAUAAAGGCUCACCGGUCAUCCUGAAUGAGCUAAACUGGACCCAGUCUUUGGAGAAAGUAUUCAUUGAUAAUCGCCGGGAGGACAGCUCUCUGCGGUGGCAGGUGUUCGGCAGCGCCACAGGGGUCACGAGAUAUUACCCAGCCGCUCCGUGGAGCAGUACACAGAAUAAGAUUGACCUGUAUGAUGUCCGCAGACGGCCGUGGUACAUCCAGGGAGCGUCAUCUCCCAAGGACAUGGUCAUCAUUGUGGAUGUGAGCGGCAGUGUCAGCGGACUCACUCUGAAGCUGAUGAAGAACUCGGUGGUGAAGAUGCUGGAUACGCUGUCUGACGACGACUACGUGAAUGUGGCCAGGUUUAGCGAGAAGGCCGAGGCGGUGGUCCCCUGCUUUAAGACCUUGGUCCAGGCCAACAAGAGAAACAAGAACAUCUUCAAGGAGUCCAUCAUGAACAUGCACGCCAAAGGAACAACCGACUACAAGUCUGGCUUCCAGUUCGCCUUCGAACAGCUGCUCAAUGACACCGGAGCCCCCAGGGCGGGCUGCAAUAAGAUGAUAAUGAUGUUUACCGAUGGGGGGGAGGAUCGUGCUCAGGACAUCUUUGAGAAGUACAACUGGCCCAACAAAACUAUUCGAGUAUUUACCUUUUCGGUAGGGCAGCAUAACUAUGAUGUCACACCUCUGCAGUGGAUUGCCUGCGCCAAUAAAGGCUUCUACUACGAGAUUCCAUCCAUUGGAGCAAUUCGGAUAAACACACAGGAGUACCUGGAUGUUCUGGGUCGGCCUAUGGUUCUGGCGGGGCCAAGGGCCAAACAGGUCCAGUGGACCAAUGUGUACCAAGAUGCUCUUACUCUAGGUCUGGUCAUUACUGGGACCAUGCCAGUCUUCAACCUAACGGCUGAUGCUAACUCACAGACUCAGCUCGUCCUCGGCGUCAUGGGAGUGGAUGUGGCGAUCAGCGAAAUUAAGAAAAAGACGCCAACAUACAGGCUUGGAGCUAACGGUUAUACCUUUGCAAUAGACCAAAAUGGCUAUUUACUUCUUCACCCCAACCUGCAGCCGAAGGUAAGACCUGCUUUUCUAUGCUCCCCUGUCACUUUGGACUUCCUGGAUGCUGAGCUGAUGGACAGCAAAAAAGAAGAGAUCCGUCGAGAAAUGAUUGAUAGCAAAUCUGGGCAAAGGAAAAUCAAGACCCUCAUUAAGUCAGUUGAUGAGGCAAGUCUUCAAUACCCGAGCCUCUGGCUGGUGUUGCCCACGUACAGUGAGAACCACAUCAAGGCCAACCUGAGUGACCAGAUCCUGCAGGUGCAGUGUAAGGAAUACUGCAACGAGCUGGAGCUCUCCAACAACAACACAGAGUUUCUUCUCAACUUCAUCGCCCUCAUGGAGAAGGUGACUCCCGACUCCAAACAAUGUGACAGCCUGCUCCUUCACAACCUCAUCCUGGACACUGGCAUCAUCAGACAGCUGGUGGAGAAGGUGUGGAAGACCAAAGACCUUGCAUCAUAUGGCUUUUUGGCAGUGUUUGCUGCAACAGACGGAGGAAUUACCAGAGUUUAUCCCAACAAGGCUGCUGAGACCUGGGAGGAGGACCCCGAGCCGUUUAACGCCAGUUAUUACCGGCGUAGUCUGGACAACAAAGGCUACAUCUUCAGAGCACCUUAUCCCUCCUCCUCCGCCUCCUCAAUGAAUGACGACCUGCUGAACCAAGAGAACGACACCAUUGGGAUCCUGGUCAGCACUGCAGUGGAGAUCACGGUUGGAGGGAAAACCCUGAAACCUGCUGUGGUCGGAGUAAAACUGGACCUUGAGACCUGGGUGACCAAAUUCAAGACCCUGGCUAGUAAUUUCACCAGUUCAAGUGACAACCGUCAAUUACAACAAACGUGUGCACCAUCCGACAGCUGUGAGAUGGACUGCGACUACAACUCUGAAGAUCUUCUCUGUUACCUAUUGGAUGAUGGAGGUUUUCUGAUUAUGUCCAAUCAGAAGGAGCACUCGAACAAGGUUGGCAUGUUCAUCACUGAAGCGGAUCAGUACCUUAUGCAUGCUCUCUACAACAACUCCCUUUACAACCGAAAGCAGUCCCUUGACUACCAGUCUGUUUGUGAACCUGUGCCAACCAGCAACACCGGGGCUGCACCAAGAGGAGUGUUUGUGCCGACCAUUGCAGACUUUGUGAACCUGGCCUGGUGGACAUCAGCCGCCGUGGAGGCUGAGGGGACGGACUCCAAGGAGACCAGCUGUGUGACGAUACAGACACAGUUUUACUUCACUAACGUCAGCAGCUCCUACGGCAUCAUGCAGGACUGUGGAAACUUCUGGCUCUCUUCUUCUAACUCUCUGCUGAUCCAUGCCAGGAAGUUAAACAACACAAACCUACUGUUUGUGGUGGCAGAGAAGUUGCCCUGCAAUGCCUGUGAGGCGGAGAAAUUGGCUCUUCUAGUCAAGGACCUGAACCCUUCGUGUGACGACAUGAGCGCGGCGCGGUAUCGAAAAGGGCCCACCGCCCCUUUACAAUCCCUCCCAAACGCAUGCAGCCCAAUAUGA
rnacentral:lncRNA from 1 species